UACGAAGGGGGCUAGCGUUGCUCGGAAUCACUGGGCGUAAAGCGCACGUAGGCGGAUUGCUAAGUCAGGGGUGAAAUCCUGGAGCUCAACUCCAGAACUGCCUUUGAUACUGGGUAUCUAGAGUCCGGAAGAGGUGAGUGGAAUUCCGAGUGUAGAGGUGAAAUUCGUAGAUAUUCGCAAGAACACCAGUGGCGAAGGCGGCUCACUGGCCCGAUACUGACGCUGAGGCACGAAAGCGUGGGGAGCAAACAGG
rnacentral:rRNA from 1 species